rnacentral:sRNA from 1 species
UCCGUCGAAAUGGUGCGGUAGCCCCGCAGGAC